AGUUCGGCGGCCCGCUCCGCUUUUGCGCUUUCUCUGCGGGACGCUCUCCAGCGGGCCCCGGGGGACCGCGGGGUUGACAGCGGUCACGGCCCCCCCCCCACCCCCGCAAAGCGUCCUGCCUGGCUAGGUUGUCCAGGCGCCGCGAAAUCAGCGGAUCCGGCGCCGGGGGCGGCGUGUUGAGGCUGGCACGCAGGCCGAGGGGGCGACCCAGAGAACAGUGAGCCCUGCCCUUCCGGCUCCCUCUCCUCCUUGUCUGAGUGGAGUGGCCCGCACUGACCGGGAGUGAACUCCCAGCUGGCCCAGCAUGAACUGGAAGGUUCUUGAACACGUGCCCCUGCUGCUGUAUAUCUUGGUAGCGAAAACAUUAAUUCUCUGCCUGGCAUUUGCCGGAGCCAAAGUAUACCAAAGGAAAAAAUUGGAAGCAAAACAGCAAAAACUGGAAGCUGAAAAGAAGAAGCAGUCAGAGAAGAAGGAUAACUAAAGGGAAAUCACAGAGUCAUCAUUUUGUGUGUUAACCGCAAAGAGAAAGAGAAGAUGAGGCGUGAGGUCGUAAACGCUUCUUCCUUCCCGCAGACUUCAGUAGAGGCCCGUCAGCGAGAUUUUGUAAUUUAAAUGUCAGCUUGAGUGGACUCCGGCUGAGAAGAAAGAUUUAAUUAUUGAAUGGUGUGUCAGAAGAAAACUCCCAGCCUAUAGUCUAACUUAAAAUGAUGUGAAUUUUUAUGUGCUUUUAAAAGAACCAGUAUUUUGUUUACUAAAAUAAAAUACCUUUGUAAAAA